rnacentral:lncRNA from 1 species
GUAAUCCUGCAGAAAUAACGUAAAUGGUUAUGUAAACAUAAAGAACAUAAAUACCGUCGCAACCAAGAGGGGACCUAGGCUAAAACACUAGACAUCGGUGGGUAACCCUACUAUCCCACACCCAACCCCGGGUGAGGCGAACGAAGGACUCUAAGAGCCCCUAUCCUGCAUUAUUUAUAUGCUAUCGCUGUAUUUAAAUAAAUUGACAUGUUCAAAUAUUAGACAUCAGACGUGGAAGGAUAAGUUUCCAAUCUAUCUAUAUAUUAGGAAUUGGACUUGCUCUUACAAUACUAUUUGCUAUCGCUUGUUAGAUUACCUAAUACGGCGAUCCAGAUAUAGAUUAAUUCUGUUAUCUUGAUUACAAUCGUAUACUACUAAUCAAC